rnacentral:rRNA from 1 species
AUUGAACGCUGGCGGUAUGCUUAACACAUGCAAGUCGAACGGCAGCAUGGUCUGUAGCAAUACAGACUGAUGGCGAGUGGCGGACGGGUGAGUAACGCGUAGGGAUCUGCCCUGUAGUGGGGGAUAACCCGGGGAAACCCGGGCUAAUGCCGCAUAAUACUCUGCGGAGGAAAGCUGGCUCGCAAGAGCUGGCGCUACUGGAGGAACCUGCGUCCGAUUAGUUAGCUGGUGAGGUAGAGGCUCACCAGGGCGAUGAUCGGUAGCUGGUCUGAGAGGAUGACCAGCCACACUGGGACUGAGACACGGCCCAGACUCCCACGGGAGGCAGCAGUGGGGAAUAUUGGACAGUGGGGGCAACCCUGAUCCAGCAAUACCGCGUGUGUGAAGAAGGCCUUCGGGUUGUAAAGCACUUUGGGCGGGGAAGAAGUUAUCCUGUUUAAGAGAUGGGGUAGUUGACGGUACCCGCAGAACAAGCACCGGCUAACUCUGUGCCAGCAGCCGCGGUAA